AUUGGAAGCUGUGUCAUAGAAUUCUCAAAACUUCCUAACUGCUUCUCUCUCUCUCUUUUACUCUUAUUCUUUCUCUCUCACUCUCUCUCUUUUCCCACCCUUAAGCCAAGUACAGGGAUAGUUGUCUCAUCAUUGGUGGCUUAAAAUGAUGUUUUUGAACAAGAAGACGCCCCAUGGGUACUUAUGGUGGCUAGCACUAUCUCUGUUUUUUUCCUUUUAAAUUCCUGAGCUAUUGUUUAGCAGUACACCCUUUUAUCUCCAUUGCUACUGAAGCUGAAUGUUACUUGGGUGGAAAGCAUAACUGCUUUCUUUUCUAUGUCCUUAAACCCUUUGAUAAUGUUACUGUUUGAGAGUCCCUGAAGCCAGGAUACUAGGAGAGUCUGGCUUGUCUGAACAGCUGAACUACAAAAUAAUGGAGUAGGGCAGGUGGGUGGGGGAGCAGGGCGUUCUGUCGAUAAACGAGCUCCCUUCUUUGCACACAUAGCCAGUUAAUCGGCCAUUCUGAGAUAGUUUGGAUGGGGAGGGGGAGCUUCUGAGAAUCGCCAGUGACAGUUAAGUGGCCUAUUGUUGACGUCCUCUGCUGAACGACUUGGUUGGAUUCAGCUUCUGCCUUACCCCCACCCCCUGUGGAUUUUCUGUUAGAUUCAUCAUUUGCCAUUCAGGCAUCAUCUUUCACUUUCUCCUUCCAACAUGACUGCUUUGUGUGCUGGCCCCUGCUUUACUCCUGCUAUUCCCAAACUAUAAAGGGAACUGUGUGGGGCUUCAGCAGGACUGAGAAAUUGACUCUGCUGUCUGUUGAGAACUCUAAUAAUGACUGCGGUGACCUUCAUGUCUAGCAGAAAACCCACUAUCUGUGCUAGCACAAUGAUGACCACCUGAAGACAGAGAAAAGGGAAUCUUGAUUGAAUUCCUUCUCAUACAAUAUAUAGUUAUUUCCUUUGUUCUCCUCUCCAUUCUCUUCUCUUCCCCUUCUCCCCAUCGCCACUGGAGGACUGAUCUCAAAUGCAGCUGUGACUAAAAGUGCUGUGCUGUCCUGAGGCCUGGGCCAUGGUGCCCAAGGAAAGCCCCUGAAGCUCACCAGGAGGAAGAAGCAUGCAGGGCACCCCUGGAGGUGGGACGCGCCCUGGGCCAUCCCCCGUGGACAGGCGGACACUCCUGGUCUUCAGCUUUAUCCUGGCAGCAGCUUUGGGCCAAAUGAAUUUCACAGGGGACCAGGUUCUUCGAGUCCUGGCCAAAGAUGAGAAGCAGCUUUCACUUCUCGGGGAUCUGGAGGGCCUGAAACCCCAGAAGGUGGACUUCUGGCGUGGCCCAGCCAGGCUCAGCCUCCCUGUGGAUAUGAGAGUUCCUUUCUCCGAACUGAAAGACAUCAAAGCUUAUCUGGAGUCCCAUGGACUUGCUUACAGCAUCAUGAUAAAGGACAUCCAGGUGCUGCUGGAUGAGGAAAGAGAGGCCAUGGCGAAAUCCCGCCGGCUGGAGCGCAGCACCAACAGCUUCAGUUACUCCUCAUACCACACCCUGGAGGAGAUAUAUAGCUGGAUUGACAACUUUGUAAUGGAGCAUUCCGAUAUUGUCUCAAAAAUUCAGAUUGGCAACAGCUUUGAAAACCAGUCCAUUCUUGUCCUGAAGUUCAGCACUGGAGGUUCUCGGCACCCAGCCAUCUGGAUUGACACUGGAAUUCACUCCCGGGAGUGGAUCACCCAUGCCACCGGCAUCUGGACUGCCAAUAAGAUUGUCAGUGAUUAUGGCAAAGACCGUGUCCUGACAGACAUACUGAAUGCCAUGGACAUCUUCAUAGAGCUCGUCACAAACCCUGAUGGGUUUGCUUUUACCCACAGCAUGAACCGCUUAUGGCGGAAGAACAAGUCCAUCAGACCUGGAAUCUUCUGCAUUGGCGUGGAUCUCAACAGGAAUUGGAAGUCGGGUUUUGGAGGAAAUGGUUCUAACAGCAACCCCUGCUCAGAAACUUAUCACGGGCCCUCCCCUCAGUCGGAGCCGGAGGUGGCUGCCAUAGUGAACUUCAUCACAGCCCAUGGCAACUUCAAGGCUCUGAUCUCCAUCCACAGCUACUCUCAGAUGCUUAUGUACCCUUACGGCCGAUCGCUGGAGCCCGUUUCAAAUCAGAGGGAGUUGGUGAGACUGGCUGCUUAGGGCCUGGGGAGAAGAGACCGCUUCACAGGAAAAUCCAUAUCUGUCAUACUCCCAGAGCGCUCAGGACUGCUAAAUCCAUGCUUCUCACCAGCUGGUGAGGGUGGGGGAGUGUGUGGGAGCCCCUGCCUUUCACCCCGCCAAUGUCAUCUUGCAGUACGAUCUUGCCAAGGAUGCGGUGGAGGCCUUGUAUAAGGUCCAUGGGAUCGAGUACAUUUUUGGCAGCCUCAGCACCACCCUCUAUGUGGCCAGUGGGAUCACCGUCGACUGGGCCUACGACAGUGGCAUCAAGUACGCCUUCAGCUUUGAGCUCCGGGACACUGGGCAGUAUGGCUUCCUGCUGCCGGCCACACAGAUCAUCCCCACAGCCCAGGAGACGUGGAUGGCGCUUCGGACCAUCAUGGAGCACACCCUGAAUCACCCCUACUAGCAGCACGACUGAGGGCAGGAGGCUCCAUCCUUCUCCCCAAGGUCUGUGGCUCCUCCCGAAACCCAAGUUAUGCAUCCCCGUCCCCAUGCCCUCAUCCCGACCUCUUAGAAAAUAAAUACAAGUUUGAACAGGC